GACGAACGCUGGCAGCGUGCUUAACACAUGCAAGUCGAACGCAGUGGCGAACGGGUGAGUAACGCGUAAUCAACCUGCCCUUCAGAGGGGGACAACAGUUGGAAACGACUGCUAAUACCGCAUACUGAAGGAGGGGAUUGGGUCUGAUUAGCUAGUUGGAGGGGUAACGGCCCCCCAAGGCGAUGAUCAGUAGCCGGUCUGAGAGGGUGGACGGCCAAAUUGGGACCGGGACACGGGCCAGAAUCCUACGGGAGGCAGCAGGGGGGAAUCUUCCUCAAUGGACGAAAGUCUGACGGAGCAAAGCCGCGUGAGUGAUGACGGCCUUCGGGUUUGAAAGCUCGGUUAAUCGGGGCGCGGUACCGGAAUAGAAAGCCACGGCUAACUACGUGCCAGCAGCCGCGGUAAUAC
rnacentral:rRNA from 1 species